rnacentral:tRNA from 1 species
CGGGGCGUAGCGCAGAUUGGUUAGCGCACUAGCAUGGGGGGCUAGGGGUCGGUGGUUCGAAUCCACUCGCCCCGA